rnacentral:rRNA from 1 species
UGGGGAAUAUUGGACAAUGGGCGCAAGCCUGAUCCAGCCAUGCCGCGUGUGUGAAGAAGGCCUUUUGGUUGUAAAGCACUUUAAGCGAGGAGGAGGCUACUUGGAUUAAUACUCUAAGAUAGUGGACGUUACUCGCAGAAUAAGCACCGGCUAACUCUGUGCCAGCAGCCGCGGUAAUACAGAGGGUGCGAGCGUUAAUCGGAUUUACUGGGCGUAAAGCGUGCGUAGGCGGCUUCUUAGUCGGAUGUGAAAUCCCUGAGCUUAACUUAGGAAUUGCAUUCGAUACUGGGAAGCUAGAGUAUGGGAGAGGAUGGUAGAAUUCCAGGUGUAGCGGUGAAAUGCGUAGAGAUCUGGAGGAAUACCGAUGGCGAAGGCAGCCAUCUGGCCUAAUACUGACGCUGAGGUACGAAAGCAUGGGGAGCAAACAGG